AAUUUAUUUUUCGUGAAAAAAAAAGUCACCCUGGCGAAGCCUCUCCCCUGAAUAACAUUGGCAUAAAGUCAAGAUACUUUAAUCUACCAACUAUUGCUACUCAUCCUUGGACAUUUUCGGUUGACCCAUUUUCCUGAGUAUUCCAAAUGCUAGAAAAUGCGAACAAUAUUUUCCAAUUAAAUAUUUUUCGUAAAAUGAACAGAGCCUAAAAACAUUUUCCUAGAAAAUAAUUUCCAUGAAAAAUAUUUUACAUAAACAAUUUAUUUUUCGUGAAAAAAAUAGAGCCUUAAUCUAACAUUAUACUAUUUCUCCUAGUCAAGUCAAAAACUAAAGUUAUAAAUUAUAAUUGAAAAACCAAGACUACAUUUCACAAUGUGGAUAUGUUAAUUACAAUCCUAUGAAAAUGCUAAAGUCAUGAAAGGUGCACAAACACUAUCAAAUCAAUCCCAUAUGUAAAAUCUAUGAGUGCCUUGGAUCCCUCCAUGAAAUUGAAGAGAAAAAAAUA
rnacentral:misc_RNA from 1 species